GCUUCCCCCAGGUGCCAGCUGUGCCUGAAGACAGCCUGUCCUCUCCGGUGUCUCCUGUUCUCAGCUCCUUAGUCCCCUCCCCGACCUCACCUCACAGUUGACUCCUGGGCUGACUCCUCCCCUGGCAGGGAAAGAAGAGCCGGGCUCGCCCACACCCGACAGGUGCAGCAGCUGCUUGAGGUCACAGUUGCUGAGAAGGGAAGCCGAGGCCAGUGGCGGCUCCAGCCAGGGAUGGUGCAGCCCGCUGAGGGGUUGGGGUUGCCCAAUCGCCCGCCCCGCUCCACCUGUCCCCACUCCUCCCACCCAGCCUGGCCACCAGCCCAGACACCUUCCUCACAUGGCCUGAAGUCCCCUGCUGACCUGUGGCACCAUGUGGCCCAGCAGGGUGGCCGGGCCGGCCGGGCUCGUGGGGCAGGGGACGCUGCUCCCCACCUGCCCUGGGGUGGUGGGUGCCACUGGGGAGGCCUCUCCCUAGGGGCAUCUCCCAGGUGGGCAGACCAGAAACUUACCCCGAGUUCUGUGACCCACUCUGGGGAGUGGGGCAUCUCAUCUCCUCUCAGCCACUUCUGAAAGCUGCGACAUGGCAGAGUGGGCAGGGCUGCCCUCUGAGCUGACACCCUUCCCCUUCUCCCCAUCUUGUCUCUCCUCAGAUCUAGGGCUCACUCUGAGGCGUGGGUGAUACUUGCUCCCCAACCCCAGCCUCUUCAGUGCAGGGAGGCAGGGCCUGAACUUCGGAGGGUCUUGGGGCAGGUUCCUGGGGCUUGCAGGGCGGCCUCCCCUUUCCCAGGGAAAGGAAUAGAGAAGCCGUGUCUGGGGAGGGAAGCCUCUACCUCCACCCUCACUGUGCCCAGAGCUGCAUCCCCAACCUGGCCUGGGGAGACUGGCACCAGGUGGAGCUGGUCCCCAAGGAGCCCCAACCCCCAGAACAUCUGCAGAGGUCAGCUCUCAGGGGGCCCCAGGGCCAGUCCUCUCUGCACCCCACCUUCCCUGCUCAAUGUGGCUUGUAGGUGGUUAUGCAAAGCAUAUGCAAAGCACAUGCAAAUGAGGCCCAGCCACAACCGGUCACUCUCUCCAGGUGAGACUACUGAAGCCCUCUGGUCAUCAGCAGGAAUGCAGGGGUGCCUAUGGCAGGCCGGACUCCAGGUCAGGCCUUGGGGCAGUGAGGAAGAAGGUGCAAGUCAGGAGCUGCCUUCGUGUUCCGGAAGAAUUCACGUGCUAAUUUGUAGGCGGCCUGGCCAGAUGCUUCAGAGACUCCGGCAGCAUCGAAGGUGUGAUUUUAGAUCAGUGCUCCCGAGACCCUUGUGUUAUUUAAGAAGGUCAGUGUGCUUAAAUGCAUAAGAAGUAAUCUGUGUGUUAAAUGUAUGAGUUAACUGAGCAUAGCCGAAGUGAAAGUGAAUGUGUUUUCAUAUUAAAAUUAGAUUUAUAAAGAGAAUGCUAAAACUUGGUGGAUUUUGGAAUGCAAGGUCUAAGAAAAGCUAGGUUUAAAUAUUGACAACUUUUACAACUUGAUAUAUUAACUCUUUUUUUUUUUUUGAGACUAGACCCUGUCCCCCAGGCUGGAGUGCAGUGGUGCAAUCAUGGCUCACUGCAGCCUCAACCUCCCAGGCUCAGGCAAUCCUCCUCCCUCAGCCUCUCAAAGUGCUUAGACUCCAGUUGCAUGCCACUAGGCCUGACUAAUUUUUUUAAAAAAAGUUUUAGUGACAUGACUUGGUGAGAGGUCACACUAAAUUGCCCAGGCUAAUCUCAAACUCCUGGGCUCAAGCAGGCCUCCCACCUCCGUCUCCCAAGUAGCUGAGACUACAGGCACGCACCACCACACCCAGCUAAUUUUCUUUUUUUUUUUUUUUUUUUUUUUGAGACGGAGUCUCGCUCUGUCGCCCAGCCCAGGCUGGAGUGCAGUGGCGCGAUCUCGGCUCACUGCAAGCUCCGCCUCCCGGGUUCACGCCAUUCUCCUGCCUCAGCCUCCCGAGUAGCCGGGACUACAGGCGCCCACAACCGCGCCCGGCUAGUUUUUUUUUUUGUAUUUUUUAGUAGAGACGGGGUUUCACCGUGGUCUCGAUCUCCUGACCUCGUGAUCCGCCCUCCCAAAGUGCUGGGAUUACAGGCUUGAGCCACCGCGCCCGGCCAGUUGGAGUCUUUUCUAACUUAAUGUAAUCAUGGGAGUGACAUCAUCAUCUUUGCCAUGUUCUAUUGGCUGGAAGAAACUCCCAGGCUUUGCCUUCACGCCCGGAG
ensembl:lncRNA